UAGGAGUUCAAGGAGCGGCAAUGUUUAGAGAGACUGGUGAAAUGUAAUGAAAUGCACAACUUACGCCCAAGAUUGACUCUAAUUCUUCACAUAAACCAUGUUCUAUUUCCCAAAAAUCUUGGUUUCGCUUGGAGUGCAGUUAAGGGAAUGUUGGAAGUAGUGUAGAUAUCAUGGCCACAGGCCAGUGGGCUAGAACCUUGAAGCCUGGCAAGGAUUAUGAGACUGGAAACUCCCAUUGAGACUAUCAAAUGAAGAGAGAGUUUCAGACUGUUUAACUCGGACUAAGGGAAAAGAAGCAAAUUACAACAGAGAAUAUUGCCGAGGAAGCAAAGACAAGUGAAAAGUCGAGUGAAGAAAAAGCAAACAAGGCUUCACGAUCUGCAACUAGGCCACUGGCGAUGAAGAAGUAAAAAUGUACAGCUAAAGAAGAUACAUCAGUGAUCAACUAAAGCUGGGUGACUUAUAUUGGAUUGACGAGGUGCAGGGGGGGGGGAUAUUAAUUUGGGUCUUUUUAUCUUUCUGUUUGUCAAUCUGACUGUCUGUAACACUUCGUUCUCUUAACAUUUCCAAAAAGCCAUCAGAUAUUGCAAUGACAUUUUAUAUUAUAACUCAUUUUGACGAUCCCACUGCAGAACAUGAUUAAUCAUCAAUAAAAAUUUAAUAUUGUUUAUAAAUUAAAUAUUACCCUUAUAUAUUUUGAAGUGAAAUGGUCAGAGGUCAAGGCCUCUUUCGGGCUCACAUAUUGUUUUUGCCUGUCUGUUUAUCUGUCUAUUGCCAAAUUACCUUUUGCCAUAACUUUUGAAUCAUGAGAGAUAUAGAUACUUCAUAUUGGGUAUGCUUACUCCACUUUCAAAUGAGACCAAUGACCUUGACUGUCAUCGUUAUGCUAAAAUAUAGCCUUAUUGAAUAUUUUACUUUUGAACCAUAAGAGGUAGAGAUUUUAUAUUGAGUAUCCAUACUCCACUAAUUAAGUUCUUUCAAAUUACAUCAAGGUUAAUGACCUUGUGACUUUGACCAAUAUGUUUUUUUUUUUCAAACUUUGUUGCC